CAGCAGCCGCGGGAAUACGGAGGGGGCUAGCGUUGUUCGGAAUUACUGGGCGUAAAGCGCACGUAGGCGGCUUGGUAAGUUAGAGGUGAAAGCCUGGAGCUCAACUCCAGAAUUGCCUUUAAGACUGCCGAGCUAGCAGGUGAGAGAGGUAAGUGGAAUUCCGAGUGUAGAGGUGAAAUUCGUAGAUAUUCGGAAGAACACCAGUGGCGAAGGCGGCUUACUGGCUCAUACUGGACGCUGAGGUGCGAAAGCGUGGGGAGCAAACAGGAUUAGAUACCCCCGUAGUCCCUGUCUCUUAUAC
rnacentral:rRNA from 1 species